AUGCGGAGUUGUCGGUGGCGUCGGUGUGGGCGAGGCGCGGAAGCGAUUCCGGCGCGACGAAGGUUGUGUCGUCCGCGAGCGAUUCAACAUUUGAUUUCCAUUCGACGAGAAGUGAUUGUGUUGAGUUUCUCGAUACUGCGAGGAAUUAGAGAUUCAGAGACUCUUUCUUCUUCGUUUUUGUUAUGCACUUUUCUGGUUUUCUAUUACUUUCCUGUGUUGAUUCUUUUACUUGACUCUGAAAUGCUAUUGUUUAAUUAUGUUCUGGAUUUGUAA